UCUAAAACUGUUUGAAUGAUGUCUGUGAGUAUAACAGAACUCAUAUGGCAAGCAAAAACCUGAGAGAAAUCCUACCAGGAAGUGGAAAUCUGGAUGCAUGGGCUCUCUUCAAGUCGUUUCCUAUUGAACACACAGUGACGUAGUAAUAAUUGUGCACUUCCUACGGCUUCCACUGGAUGUCAACAGUCUUUACAAAGUUGUUUGAGGCGUCUAUGACGAACAGAGACCGAAUGAGAAGGUGGGGAAGUUGGUCACCCAGGGAAUGACAUCACUUCAUUGGUGCGCGUUCACGAGGGUGGAUCCUCUGUUACAAAACGUUUUUCAAGACACAGGAACCGUCCGGUUGAAAUAUUACUGAAUCUUCACGUUCUAAAGGCCCUAAAGAUUGAUGUUUUACAACGUUUGACAUGUUUGAACGAACGUAAAUACAACUUUUUUUUACUUUUCGUCGUGACAUUGUCCGCGCGCUUCCUACAUUUGGAGUAGCUGAACUGAACGUGCGAACAACAAGGAGUUAUUUGGACAUAAAUUAUGAACUUUAUCGAACAAAACAACAUUUAUUGUGGACCUGGUAUUCCUGGAAGUGCCUUCUGAUGAAGAUCAUCAAAGGACCUGAGCCCUAGGACCAUGCCUCAGGACUACCUGGCUUGAUGACUCCUUGCUGUCCCCAGUUCACCUGGCCGUGCUGCUGCUCCAGUUCCAACUGUUCUGCCUGCAGCUAUGGAACCCUGACCUGUUCACCGGACGUGCUACCUGUCCCAGACCUGUUGUCCCAGACCUGCUGGAACCCUGACCUAUUCACUGGACGUGCUACCUGUCCCAGACCUGCUGUUUUUAACUCUCUAGAGACAGCAGGAGCGGUAGAGAUACUCUCAAAGAUCGGCUAUGAAAAAGCCAACUGACACUUACUCCUGUGUUACUGACUUGUUGCACCCUCGACAACUACUAUGAUUAUUAUUAUUUGACAAUGCUGGUCAUUUAUGAACAUUUGAACAUUUGAACAUCUAGGCCAUGUGCUGUUAUAAUCUCCACCCGGCACAGCCAGAAGAGGACUGGCCACCCCUCAUAGCCUGGUUCCUCUCUAGGUUUCUUCCUAGGUUUUGGCCUUUCUAGGGAGUUUUUCCUAGCCACCGUGCUUCUACACCUGCAUUGCUUGCUGUUUGGGGUUUUAGGCUGGGUUUCUGUACAGCACUUUGAGAUAUCAACUGUUGUAAGAAGGGCUAUAUAAAUAAAUUUGAUUUGAUUUGAGGUACCCUUUAAAUAAGAAGAAUUAGGCUCCAACACAGAGCCCUCUCCUUAUAAAGUCGAAUUAAAACAAAGAAAGUUUAAAUGAAUCAGGUGUUCUACAAUUAGUCUACUUUUAGCAAUCAUGCACUGUCCAUCUCCGAUGGAUUGUGCCGGGGCUGCUGCUUCAAUGUAGCCAAAUGUAAAUUAUCUGGCUUAUUGUGAGAUCAAUAACUAUGAUAAAUAGCUUCACCAUGGGAAACGAAACAUAUUGUUUUAAUUUUUAAAAACUAUAGCAGUAGCUAACUAUCAGUUUACCUUCUCAUCUUCACGCGUGCCGUCUCAAACUGAACAGGACAUCAGAUUACCGCUUGCACAGAUAUAUUGCAUUUUUUUUACAAAUCAAAAUGCUUCUCUGAGCAUGCACUUCGUAUAGCCUAGGCCUAUAGCCUAGUAUAGGCUAUGGAUCAUUUGAUUAAGACCACACUAAAUAUAGGCGCACUUGAUAUUGUGCGCCCAGCAGAGAAUCAGGGAUGAGUGGCAGCAUCGGGCACAUAUUGAGCUAUAACUAGUGUUGGGGUAUGUUCCUUGUUCCUUGUCAAUCAUUGGCUUGUUGGUGAAAUCAGCAAUCAGACAAUAUCUUCUUUAAGUAAAUCAAUCAAACCUUUAUUCAUGCAAUUGCAGACAGAAGUUGACAAUGGAAACAUAGCACGCGUGUUUCAGAGUAAGUUCUGCAAAAUAAAAAAGGUCAAAGUUACUUUAAUAUGCUGCCAGUCAACCCCUAGUGAUGUAACUGCCUAUGUCAACAUCUUCUACUCAUGAGAACAAGCCCAUGCAUAUACAGUUAUACAAACUGCAGGAGAAAACAGUAGUCCAGUGUGUUCUAAGUGCUCAGCAGUAAUUUUCCAUUCCCGUGUAGCUUACAGUGGUAUGUCUGACUUGUCUCUUAUCUCUUUACUCCCCUGCAGGGUUCUGUGUUUAUGUAUCUCUUUUAGCCUUGAGACGCUUUCUCACAGACAACCUGUUUUGACUGCAAUAGCUCACACAUCUCUCAGACCGUUUCUUAUAAGAGGCAGAGACUAGAAAAGAACUGUGGAACAGUAUUAAAGUUUAUAAUGCAUAUAUUGCUAAUCUGUGGUCCAGGACCCUAUAAAUGUAGUGGGGGAGGGUCUUAUAGCCCUUCCCCUUCUAUUAAUACAACAUAAGCAUAAUCAAUUAUUAUAAUACAUCAAUCAUUUGGUGCAGCCCCUAUCAUGACCCCAAGGUGACCCCCAUCACUAGCAACUAAUUCUAAAACACUGAGCAAUACUGAAAUUGAAAAAGCAUGGCUCUCCUGUUUUUUUCUGGGUCACAGUUCCAAAAAUGGCUUAACAUUUUUUUAUAGACCUACAGUGUAUUGCAUUGGGUGCUAUGGAACAGGGCUGGGAAUUGCCAGGAAACUCACGAUACAAUAUUAUAACGAUACUUAGGUGCCGAUACGAUAUGUAUUGUGAUUCUCACGGUUCUAUAUGUAUUGCGAUUCAAUACUGUGAUUUUAUUGUGAUUAGAUGUUCUAAAAUCCUUCUAUGUAAGAGAUACAUAGAUGAUGUCUGUGUCAGUCGUUGCUAGGAGUGGUGGUAGGAGUCAGGCGCAGAGAGCAGAGGUAAGGAACUGUGUGUUUAUUCAAUAAAAACACAACACGAUCGACGCCAACACAACGGGCGUGAAAAAUGCAAAGUGCCCAAACAACAGGUGCACAGCAUGCAUGAAAAUAGAACAGUAGUAGAUCGCCAGCACAUCCAAAUACAAAACACAACCUGACGCUAAAUAAUCCCGCACAACACUGGGCGGGCUAACCAGGCUUAAAUAACCAAAAUCAAAAGACAAAUGAGGAACAGGUGCAACCAAUAAGACAAACCAAACGAAAAG
rnacentral:lncRNA from 1 species